ensembl:lncRNA
AUGCCCCCGCUCCCCGGGGGCAGGGGAGGAAGCNNNNNNNNNNNNNNNNNNNNNNNNNNNNNNNNNNNCCACGCCGCGACCGGCUCCCCCAGCGCCCCCACCCCGGGGCCCGGCGGCAGGAAGGCGAAACUCAGUGUGCCUGGCCAUUCUUGGGCACUGAAGGUACCGUGGCACUGUUUGUGGGCCAUCUACUUUGCAGUGAUCGGACUCUUCAGCUGCUGUUCUCAAAUCCUUUUGCUGAGGUAGGUUGCUAUCACUGUGUCCAUUUACAGCAAGUUGCUGAAGGUUGUGUGGCAAGUCAGUGGCACAGCUCUGAAGAGAGCUGUGUCCUCUUCAGGUCUACGCCCAACCAGCAAGAGUCAGGAUGCUAACUUUAAUGUCCUGGCCAAACUCCACUUGGAUAACUAAAUUCUACCUCCUAAAAUGUCUGUGCUUGUAUUUGGGUGCAGUAUCCCUCACUUGCUGUCUUAAAUUACUGUGGUACAUUACUGUCUAACAUUAAAUAGCUGCUACGUAACUCCUUAGAAGUGGCUGCAUUUCAAGACUCAGUGACUUGAUAGCUGUUUAUACACUGUGUAAAUUACUUUGGGAUCCUUUGUGCAUAAAGAUGAUGAAUGUGGUUAUUAUAGGUAGUCUAUUGCUUUAAUUUAGUGGUGUGCAAUUAAGUUCCGGCAGCUAUUAAAUGAUUGGCAGUGGCCCACUGACAUUAUGGGUGGAUAACAUGACACAAAAGUUAAACCCAAUCCCCUGUGGAUAGCUGUGAUUUUUCAGUAUGCCAACAAUCCCAUGUUCAGAUAAUGAAGACAUCCGCUAUUCUGGAAAGAAAGAGGUUAAUAGGGAAAAAAUAGUGAUGUAUACAGAGCCGAAAACUUUAACGUAUUGAAUGCAUUACUCAGGGGUAACCAGCCCAGUGUUCUGAUUCUCUCUCACUCUUAAUUCAUUUCUCUCAUAACAUGAUUGUUUAACUUACCACCAGUGCUUGAAAGCUUUUGGGUUUUUUUAUGAAGUAUACUGUAAAUUACACCACAUUGCUUGACACUUGAAAGGUCAAAGAUACUUGUAUUUUAUUAGAAUGUGCAUACUAGGGGUAAACCCUUAACUUUUUUUUUUUUGCUUGACUAUAGAGAGAAUUUAUAAUGGCAUGUGUCAGAUUGCUCUGGGCACCAACCAAAUGGAAGAACAUUCUUAAUC